rnacentral:tRNA from 1 species
GCGGAUGUAGCUCAGUUUGGUUAGAGCGCUUGCUUGUCACGCAAGAGGUCGCGAGUUCAAGUCUCGUCAUUCGCGCCA